CAGAUGACGAAACUGAGACACAGAGAAGCUGAUCAAGCGGCCCAAUCCCCCCAGAACGAUUAGGUUGUACUUUGAAAGGGAUGAACACAGCAACACACCAGAGAGGGGCCCGGUGCUACAUUCUUCUGGAGACUGAGGUAGGGAAGAGGUCGGUUUUCUACCUUUGGAAAAGAGCAGAUCCAACAACCAACCAAUCAGCAGCACUGCCAAGCAAGAACUUUCCAACUCAAAACACAUGUUUGCUGCCCAGUUUUAUAUCUGGACUACUCACACUCUAAGGGUACCACAAAAAGGGAAGGAACAGGAAUAAAGGAAAGGCUACCAAGCAUACCCAUGGAAAAGCUGAAAACAGCACAAAUCGGUUGACAUCAUUUUGGCCUGACUGUGGAAAUGGAACCCAAACUAUCCUCCCCAAAAUGGCAGAGAAUACUGCCCCAUCCCACUGAGGUAGGGGUUGGCCACAUGAUUUGUUAUGGCCAGUGGAGUGCUGGCAGAUGUGAUGCACGCAGAAGGCACAAACCAUACUUGUGUGGUUGGGCUUGCCUUCUUAUGCUUCUACCAUCAGUGUGGAAACUUCUGUAUAACUUUUGUAUUUUAGCCCAGGCCCAAGGAUGAACAUAGAUGGAGCAGGUGGAAACACAACUCAUAGCAGGUGGUAAAGCCCAGCCAGAGACCCAGCUUGAAGCAGUCACCCACACAAGCUGAUGUCAGCCAAUCUGCAGAGGCAUGAAUAAGAAUGAUUAUUUUAAGCAACUGAGAUUUGGGGUGGUUAGGUGGCAACAGCAUCUGAAACAUUAAGUAGACAUCAUUCUUUUAGGAUCCACUCCUGAGGUCAAACUAUGUUACCUCCCCCUUUACUGCUGUAUGCCAAGAGCCUAGCACAGUUCCUGGCACAUAGCAGGUGUUCAAUAAAUACCUGUUGCAGUCAGAUUUACGUGUUUCUUCUAAAAAUAGCAAUCUAGGAGAAUAAAACUGAGAACUUACAUAAUUAAGUGUUCAGUGUGUGUCGCAACUUCAAAAUCAACAAUUUCAACAAAGACCAGAUUGCAUGUCAGCAGUCAUUAGGGGGUUAAGAGCACUGACUACAGACAUGACUGCCUGGAUUUGAAUCUAGGCUUCACAAAUUACCAGCCAGGUGACCUUGGGCCAACACUACUUCAUCUCCCUCUCUUUCCUCAUCUGUUAAAUGGUGCUAUAAAUAGUAUCUACCACAUGGAACAGUUGUGUGGAUUAAGAGAUAAUUUAUUUCAAGUACUUACAACCUUGCCCAGUACAUGAUAAAUGCUGCAUAGGCAUUUUCUAUUAUUACCUGCAUAAAGACCAUUUUAAGAAAGGUUAUUAAAGCCCUCUUCACCUGUUCCUCUCAUCACCUAUUUAUAUCCAUUUGUUCUCACUUCUAUUAUCUAAUCUUGUACAUGUUUCCAAUUAGCUCUUUUGUACAUUUUCAUCAUCUUUCUAUGCUCAGGAUUGCUAAGUGCCAAUAUCUACUCUAUCCCAAAGCGCCCCUCCGCCAACUCCACCAACUAUUUAAAGAACUGCUGAUUUUGUUCUUUUCACACAGGGUAUCAUUUGCCCCCUUCUCCAUCUGUUCAAAUCUGAUUCUCAAUGUCCGGACCUAGUCUUCCAUGAUGCCUGUUCUGAUCUUCCCUCCCAAUGUGAUCUUAAUCUGUACCUUUUAUCAAUUCAUCUCUACCUCAAUUACACUUUUAUUACUUUCUACUUAUACCUUUCCACAAUGAAAUUAAUUGUAAGCUCCUAAAGGACAAGAUCACAAUUUCUUGGUUUUCUGCCCAUUCCUACUGCCAAGUAUACAGCUGGCAAGCAAUAUUUGUUGAAUAAAUAUAUUUGAAAAUCCCAUAUAGAUAGGUUCAUGUAAAGUCUAAAUCAGCUUUGCUAAAAAGUCACUUUUUUUUUUUCUUAAAAAAAGAAAAAAAAUUGUCAAUUCAAUGCUAGACAGUUUAAGGGAAAAGAAGUUUGCAUGUAAAAGAGACAGACACUUGAUUUAUUGCAUUAAAAAACUUUAUUUCUUUUAAAAGGUCCAAUAUAAGCCAAAUUAACCCCAAAAUUUACAGCUACACUUUGAGAUCUCCUGAACUAAAUGGCACUGUUUGAGAUGAGUGUCUUGUUAAAGGAGGUCAUUUGCUAUUACCACCAUUUCACCCAAAGUAGUUCUAGAGCAGAAGCUGGUAUUAUAAUACACAUCAGAUAUUUCAGGUGUCAUCUUUUAUGCAUAAGUUAAAGAAAGCAAACAGGCUUUUCUACUCUGUGUGAGGAUAAGAAACACUACAGAACAGGGCCUGAAUGCUUUAGAUAUACAAGGUGUAACCAUAAAGGAAAUUUCUACGGCACUGUGUUCAUUCAUUCAAGUAGUUCAUGUACUUAUUCCAACAAUACCAGUGUAGUUCAAAUACCAUUUGAGACAGUACUUUGGGGUUUCCCUUCAUUGGGUGCAGACCAAAGGAAGUGGUUAAGCUGGGGGGCAGACUCUCACAGAUGGAUUACAAAAGUAAUGAAAUAGUUUUCUUAGUGGGGUGGCAUUCGCAAGAACUACCUUAAUGUUUUUGGUAACAGCAUCAUUUACAUAUAAGUGAUGCACGAUAGAAGUUCUGGUAUAUGUGAUAAAUUAAAAACAGCUUGUCACUUUAUAGCCACACCUUGGAUUUCAUUAGAUGUGGUAAAUCUAAUAGUGUGUCAAAUGAGUCCUUCUGGAAAUCACUUCAGCAGAGAAAUCAAACAGCCUGUAAAAGAGAAGACAUGGCAGAAUGUGCGAGAUUCAUCCUUCCAACAUUCUCAGGGUUCUCUUGGAGGACAGACCCGGGCCCAAAGACAGAAGUUACCGGGAGGGAGGCUUCAACUCCAUCUAAGGAAGACCUUUCUAACAGUUAGAGCUGCUCAACAACUGAAUGGACUGCUUGGUGAGGUAGAGUCACUUGGAAGUGUUCAAGGUGGAAAGAUCACCCUUGUAGAAGGGACUCCUGCAUUUGUUAAGAGGUUAGAGAGUGGAUGAACCUCAGGUCUCUUUCAAUUCUGAGAUUCUAGAAAAUUCCCUCAGGGAAUUCAGAAGAGAAUUCCUAAAAGGAAAGAGAAAGCACACAUAUGUAUACUUUUAGAAUCUGCUUGAAUUUUCUUUUUUCUUUUUUUUUUCAAAAGGUACAAUAGAAAAUGUAGUCCACUGCCAUUAAAAUGCAUAUUCACCUUCCUACUACUAAUAAUUAGGAAGGGUUCAUUAUGACUUCUUUAUAUUAUAAAGAAAAGAUGGGGGAUUAGACUUAUAAUUUCUGUAAAUAUUUUAGAAAAAAUGCUUAAAAUCUAGUAGUCAAUGCCCUAGAAACUUUAUAGAUUUGUAGAUAAUAUGCACAGAUACAAAUACAUUAUUCAUUAAAUACAACUCACAUCUGUGUUUUAUUAUACUCUAAAAUAUACAGGAAUCUUGAUGUACUGAAAGAGUGCAAGUAAAUACAGUAUUCAAGCAGUCACUAUUUCUAUGUACAUGCUCAUUAAUUCUUCAAAAAACCCACAAAAUUAUCAAAUAGAUCAAAAUACUGUUCUGUGUUUUCACACUUUAUAUUCAGAAAAACCAGCUGAUAAUUUACAAUGUCAUAAAGUUUCCAGUUUCACAAUACAAAAAGGAUAAAAUGAAAUUGGGUAUCAUUUUGUUGCAAUUUAUAGAACUUUACCCAUACCUGUAAGACCCUCAAUGUUUAUGAAAUCAUUUUCACUGGGAAAGUGACAGUUACAGUAAAAGCAGAACCACACAAAUAUUUAUUUAAAGCUGAAAUAUCAGCCUUCUCUCUCUCUUUUGCUAUUUGAAAGUAGUCUUCAAUUUGGCAGGCAACUGCUUCUCUCUCCAAAUAGUAACAGGUUACAAACAUGCUACUUUAAAUAUGAAUAGGACCUAAGGCUUUAGUAUUUUAAAUCUUGCCCAAUACAGAAAUGCCUUCCAAGAGACUUAGUGAUGUUUAAUUUAUGAACAACAAGGAAGUAUUUUCCUUUUGAUUAUUCACUUUUUCAAAACUCAUAGAUCAGAAUAAACAUAAAAAAUCCCCCAACCCAAGGUGGGGACACAAAAGUAACCUAAGCGACUAAGGUGUGCCAUUCAAAGUAGAGAGGUUGAAGACUCCAUACCCCAGAACCACUUAGCUGCAAUAGGGUGAAAUAAUCUACUUUUCGAUUUCAUGAAUUUUUUUUUUUUUGGAAAUUCUUUACAUUUUUAAACAAAAAUAGUACUAUUUUAAACCCAAACCAUUCAAAACAGGGCAACAGCCUGACCCCAAUCCAUCUCAAUGUCUAUGUCACAAGUAUUUUCACCCGUAUUGCACCCAGUCAGCUGGUUUUAAAUUCUAAUAGUAUAAAAAUUGGAAAUUUGAAAUAUUUAUGUAAAAGAAAAAAAUGUAAAAAUACAUCUGCUUUCUCUCAUGG